rnacentral:rRNA from 1 species
GACGAACGCUGGCGGCGUGCUUAACACAUGCAAGUCGAACGGAAAGGCCCCUUUGGGGGUACUCGAGUUGCGCACGGGUGAGUAACACGUGAGUAACCUGCCCUUGACUUCGGGAUAACUUCAGGAAACUGGGGCUAAUACCGGAUAGGAAUCCUUGCUGCAUGGUGGGGGUUGGAAAGCUUCGGCGGUUUUGGAUGGACUCGCGGCUUAUCAGCUUGUUGGUGGGGUAGUGGCUUACCAAGGCUUUGACGGGUAGCCGGCCUGAGAGGGCGACCGGCCACAUUGGGACUGAGAUACGGCCCAGACUCCUACGGGAGGCAGCAGUGGGGAAUAUUGCACAAUGGGCGGAAGCCUGAUGCAGCAACGCCGCGGGCGGGAGGACGGCCUUCGGGUUGUAAACCGCUUUCAGCAGGGGCGAAGCUUGUGGUGACGGUACCUGCAGAAGAAGCACCGGCUAACUACGUG